rnacentral:lncRNA from 1 species
GAAAUAGAAACCGAAUCAGAAAAUAGGGGAACCGAAUAAGGAAAUAGAAACCGAAUAAGGAAAUGAAAUCAAAUAAGGAAAUAGAAAGCGAAUAAGGAAAAAGAAACUGAAUAAGGAAAUAGAAACCCAAUAAGGAAAUAGAAACCGAAUAAGAAAAUGAAAAUCAAAUAAGGAAAUAGAAACCAAAUAAGGAAAUGAAAAUCGAAUAAGGAAAUAGAAAGCAAAUAAGGAAAUGAAAA